rnacentral:rRNA from 1 species
AGAGUUUGAUCAUGGCUCAGAAUCAACGCUGGCGGCGUGCCUAACACAUGCAAGUCGAGCGAGAAAAGGGGGGCAACUCCCUGAGUAAAGCGGCGCACGGGUGAGUAACACGUGGGUAAUCUGCCCUGGAGUGGGGAAUAACACCGGGAAACCGGUGCUAAUACCGCAUACGAUAACGAGGUCUUCGGGCUUUGUUAUGAAAGGAGCAAUUCGCUCUAGGAGGAGCCCGCGGCUGAUUAGCUAGUUGGUGAGGUAACGGCUCACCAAGGCUACGAUCAGUAUCCGGUCUGAGAGGACGGUCGGACACACUGGAACUGAGACACGGUCCAGACUCCUACGGGAGGCAGCAGUGGGGAAUUUUUCGCAAUGGGGGCAACCCUGACGAAGCAACGCCGCGUGGGUGAUGAAGUAUCUCGGUACGUAAAACCCUUUCGACGGGGAAGAAACCGCAAGGUUGACGGUACCCGUAGAAGAAGCCCCGGCUAACUCCGUGCCAGCAGCCGCGGUAAUACGGGGGGGGCGAGCGUUGUUCGGAAUUACUGGGCGUAAAGGGUGCGUAGGCGGUUCGCUAAGUUGGAUGUGAAAACUCUGGGCUCAACCCAGAGCCUGCAUCCAAGACUGGCGGACUGGAGUUCUGGAGGGGGUAGCGGAAUUCCUGGUGUAGCGGUGAAAUGCGUAGAUAUCAGGAGGAACACCGGUGGCGAAGGCGGCUACCUGGACAGAAACUGACGCUGAGGCACGAAAGCUAGGGGAGCAAACAGGAUUAGAUACCCUAGUAGUCC